CGAAUCAACAAGUAAAUUGCCCUAGAUGACUUGAAGCCAUUCUUGUACCAUGUUUCCAAUAUUCAUCCAACCAGUUUCCUAUACAAAUUUCAUCCAAUAAUUAAGAGGAUUUUCCAUAAAAAAGAAAGGGACCACCAAUCAAAGCAUCAACUCAAUGCAUAAAUGGAACAAAACCAAUCAAACUAAAUAAGCGACAUAAUACACUAGAUCAAAUG
rnacentral:lncRNA from 1 species